UACGGAGGAUCCAAGCGUUAUCCGGAUUUAUUGGGCUUAAAGGGUGCGUAGGUGGCUUUUUAAGUCAGGGGUGAAAGACGGUAGCUUAACUAUCGCAGUGCCUUUGAUACUGAAGAGCUUGAAUGAACUAGAGGUAGGCGGAAUGUGACAAGUAGCGGUGAAAUGCAUAGAUAUGUCACAGAACACCAAUUGCGAAGGCAGCUUACUAUGGUUUUAUUGACACUGAGGCACGAAAGCGUGGGGAUCAAACAGG
rnacentral:rRNA from 1 species